AUUGAACGCUGGCGGCAGGCCUAACACAUGCAAGUCGAGCGGAUGAAGGGAGCUUGCUCCUGGAUUCAGCGGCGGACGGGUGAGUAAUGCCUAGGAAUCUGCCUGGUAGUGGGGGAUAACGUCCGGAAACGGGCGCUAAUACCGCAUACGUCCUGAGGGAGAAAGUGGGGGAUCUUCGGACCUCACGCUAUCAGAUGAGCCUAGGUCGGAUUAGCUAGUUGGUGGGGUAAAGGCCUACCAAGGCGACGAUCCGUAACUGGACUGAGAGGAUGAUCAGUCACACUGGAACUGAGACACGGUCCAGACUCCUACGGGAGGCAGCAGUGGGGAAUAUUGGACAAUGGGCGAAAGCCUGAUCCAGCCAUGCCGCGUGCGUGAAGAAGGUCUUCGGAUUGUAAAGCACUUUAAGUUGGGAGGAAGGGCAGUAAGUUAAUACCUUGCUGUUUUGACGUUACCAACAGAAUAAGCACCGGCUAACUUCGUG
rnacentral:rRNA from 1 species